rnacentral:snRNA from 1 species
AGCUUUGCGCAGUGGCAGUAUCGUAGCCAAUGAGGUUUAUCCGAGGCGCGAUUAUUGCUAAUUGAAAAAUAAGUAGUUUUCCACAUGUGAGGAGUGCUAUAAAUGUGGGUGACUUAAAGAACAUAUGAAAUAAG